rnacentral:rRNA from 1 species
UGGGGAAUAUUGCACAAUGGGGGGAACCCUGAUGCAGCGACGCCGCGUGAGUGAAGAAGUAUUUCGGUAUGUAAAGCUCUGUCAGCAGGGACGAAGAUGACGGUACCUGCAGAAGAAGCCCCGGCUAACUACGUGCCAGCAGCCGCGGUAAUACGUAGGGGGCAAGCGUUAUCCGGAUUUACUGGGUGUAAAGGGAGCGUAGACGGCAGGGCAAGCCAGAAGUGAAAGGCCGGGGCUCAACCCCGGGACUGCUUUUGGAACUGCCCGGCUGGAGUACAGGAGAGGUAAGCGGAAUUCCUGGUGUAGCGGUGAAAUGCGUAGAUAUCAGGAGGAACACCAGUGGCGAAGGCGGCUUACUGGACUGAGACUGACGUUGAGGCUCGAAAGCGUGGGGAGCAAACAGG